ACACCUCAACUCUCAUGGUUUGCCAUGAUGAGCUUGGACUAUGGGGGUUUUGCUGGCCUGUGGUCGGCUCCUCUCAAAUGGAUCAGCUUACCAGUGUUUGGUGGCGUCACAGGUGUGAUAAUUAUCUACGCUUGUUGUUGUCUGCCGAGUAACCUUUGGUGACGGAGGUUUGCUGGAGCUUAUAAACGUCUCUCCUCAGCGAAGACAGCUUUUUGACC
rnacentral:misc_RNA from 1 species